rnacentral:rRNA from 1 species
CCUACGGGUGGCAGCAGUGGGGAAUAUUGCACAAUGGGGGAAACCCUGAUGCAGCGACGCCGCGUGAGUGAAGAAGUAAUUCGUUAUGUAAAGCUCUAUCAGCAGGGACGAAAAUGACGGUACCUGAGUAAGAAGCCCCGGCUAACUACGUGCCAGCAGCCGCGGUAAUACGUAGGGGGCAAGCGUUAUCCGGAUUUACUGGGUGGAAAGGGAGCGUAGACGGGAGUGCAAGUCUGGAGGGAAAGGCGGUGGCUCAACACCCGGACUGCUCUGGAAACUGGACGGCUGGAGUGCAGGAGAGGUAAGUGGAAUUCCUAGUGUAGCGGUGAAAUGCGUAGAUAUUAGGAGGAACACCGGUGGCGAAGGCAGCUUACUGGACUGUAACUGACGUUGAGGCUCGAAAGCGUGGGGAGCAAACAGGAUUAGAUACCCCAGUAGUC